CCUACGGGAGACAGCAGUGGGGAAUAUUGCACAAUGGGGGAAACCCUGAUGCAGCGACGCCGCGUGAGUGAAGAAGUAAUUCGUUAUGUAACGCUCUACCAGCGGGGAAGAAAAUGCCGGUACUUGAGUAGGAAGCCCCGGCAAAUUACGUGCCAGCAGCCGCGGUAAUACGGAGGGGGCAAGCGUUAUCCGGAUUUACUGGGAGAAAAGGGAGCGUAGACGGCAGUGCAAGUCUGGAGUGAAGGGCGGGGGCUCAACCCCCGGACUGCUCUGGAAACUGUACGGCUGGAGUGCAGGAGAGGUAAGUGGAAUUCCUAGUGUAGCGGUGAAAUGCGUAGAUAUUAGGAGGAACACCAGUGGCGAAGGCGGCUUACUGGACUGUAACUGACGUUGAGGCUCGAAAGCGUGGGGAGCAAACAGGAUUAGAUACCCGAGUAGUC
rnacentral:rRNA from 1 species